rnacentral:rRNA from 1 species
CCUACGGGAGGCAGCAGUGAGGAAUAUUGGUCAAUGGACGAGAGUCUGAACCAGCCAAGUAGCGUGAAGGAUGACUGCCCUAUGGGUUGUAAACUUCUUUUAUAUGGGAAUAAAAUGUUCCACGUGUGGGAUUUUGUAUGUACCAUAUGAAUAAGGAUCGGCUGACUCCGUGCCAGCAGCCGCGGUAAUACGGAGGAUCCGAGCGUUAUCCGGAUUUAUUGGGUUUAAAGGGAGCGUAGGUGGAUUGUUAAGUCAGUUGUGAAAGUUUGCGGCUCAACCGUAAAAUUGCAGUUGAAACUGGCAGUCUUGAGUACAGUAGAGGUGGGCGGAAUUCGUGGUGUAGCGGUGAAAUGCUUAGAUAUCACGAAGAACUCCGAUUGCGAAGGCAGUUCACUGGACUGCAACUGACACUGAGGCUCGAAAGUGUGGGUAUCAAACAGGAUUAGAUACCCCAGUAGUC